CCUGUUUCCCUUUCAGAGGAUUUGUCACUGAUAUACAGAAAUGCCUUUGAUUUAUGGGUGUUGAUUUUGUAUCCUGCUACUUUGCUGAAUUAAUUUACUAGUUCUAGAAGUUUUCUGGUGGAACUUUUUGGGUCUUCUAAGUAUAGAAUCAUAUUGUUGGCAAAUAGUGCUAAUUUGAGUUCUUCUUUUAUCCAUAUCCCUUUAAUUUCUUUCAUCUGUCUAAUUGCUCUGGCCAGUGUUUCAAGGACUAUGUUAAGUAAAAGUGGUGAAAGAGGGCAUCCUUAUCUUGCUCCAGUUUUUAGAGGACAUACUUUCAAUUUUUCUCCAUUUAGAAUUAGAUUGGCCUACGGCUUAGCAUAGUUGGCUUUUACGAUGUUGAGAUAUGUUCCUGUUAUCCCUAGUCUUUCUAGUGUUUUGAACAUGAAGAGGUGCUGCUGUAUUUUGUCAAAUGCUUUUCUGAAUCUAUUGAGAUGAUUAUAUGUUUCUUAUCUUUAAGUCUAUUGAUGUGAUGAAAUACAUUUAUUGAUUUCCGUAUGUUGAACCAAACUUGCAUCCCUGGAAUGAACCCCACUUGAUGGUGGUGUACUAUUUUUUUGGAUAUGUUUUUUGUAUUUGAUUUGCCAGAAUUUUAUUGGAAAUUUUUGGAUCUAUGUUCAUUAGAGGAUAAAUUGGUCUGAAGUUUUCUUUCUUUGAUGUGUCUUUGUCUGGUUUUGGGAUCAGGGUAAUAUUGGC
rnacentral:lncRNA from 1 species